GCAAAGGUAGCUCAGUUGGGUAGAGCAGCGAACUCAUAAUUCGCGGGUCACGGGUUCGAAUCCCGUACUUUGAA
rnacentral:tRNA from 1 species